rnacentral:rRNA from 1 species
CGGACGGGUGAGUAAUGUCUGGGAAACUGCCUGAUGGAGGGGGAUAACUACUGGAAACGGUAGCUAAUACCGCAUAACGUCACAAGACCAAAGAGGGGGACCUUCGGGCCUCUUGCCAUCGGAUGUGCCCAGAUGGGAUUAGCUAGUAGGUGGGGUAAAGGCUCACCUAGGCGACGAUCCCUAGCUGGUCUGAGAGGAUGACCAGCCACACUGGAAUUGAGACACGGUCCAG